AAAAGUCGUAACAAGGUUUCCGUAGGUGAACCUGCGGAAGGAUCAUUAGUCAAAUCGUCCUCGCGCACCGAAAGGUCGCGGCCGACAAAUCCCUUUGUGCACGGUUGCAAAUCAUUUUCCACCUCAACCUCUGUUGGCCUGAAUCUUCAUCUCCUCUUGUCGGCACCUGGAAACGGGGACCGGCGGAUGUGAACUGAAAACAACUUUUGACAACGGAUCUCUUGGCUCUC
rnacentral:misc_RNA from 1 species